AUUGAACGCUGGCGGCAGGCCUAACACAUGCAAGUCGAGCGGAGCGGCGGACGGGUGAGUAAUGCCUCGGAAUCUGACUGGUCGUGGGGGAUAACGUCCGGAAACGGGCGCUAAUACCGCAUCCUAUCAGAUUAGCCUAGGUCGGAUUGGCUAGAUGGUGGGGUAAAGGCCUACCAAGGCGACGAUCCGUAACUGGUCUGAGAGGAUGAUCAGUCACACUGGAACUGAGACACGGUCCAGACUCCUACGGGAGGCAGCAGUGGGGAAUAUUGCACAAUGGGCGAAAGCCUGAUGCAGCCAUGCCGCGUGUGUGAAGAAGGGCUUCGGAUUGUAAAGCACUUUAAGUUGGGAGGCGUUACCAACAGAAUAAGCACCGGCUAACUCCGUGCCAGCAGCCGCGGUAAUAC
rnacentral:rRNA from 1 species